GGUGCUGACGGCUUCCUGGGACCACGGUCAAGAUCCACAAAGACAUUUUUCAAGACUCUAGCCUCUACCACGCAAUCCAGUCUUCAUCCUCUACCAUGAUCUCCCCUGGACGAUCCCACAGGCCUCUUGAUGUCAACCGACUGGAAUGUUGCUCUCCUGUCUGGGAAAAGCUCCCUUGGUCUUAGCUAACUCGGAGGUGGGAGGAAUUCAUAUGAAUUUGAAAGCCUGCCUCAAAUUGCCUCCCGUUGGAACUUCCCACGAAGCCUGGAGACAAUAAUCAGAACAUCUAUCUUCAGUGCCCAAAAGGAAGAGAGGCUUAUAAUCCAAAGAUAGUUGGACAAGAAAGCUUGCUACAGUAGAGAGGCUGUUUGUAUCUUGGCUCACCAAAAAGGAGAGAGCUAGAAGACAAAUAGAGAUGAAGACAUCCUUCAAAGGUCUGUCCCUCCAUCAGAUUCCUGGUGUUAUGAACUACUCAAGCAAUACUUGAAGGAUUCGUGUAUCUUCAACGUUAGUGCUGCAGCUUGAGUAAGUGUUCCUUGAAGACUCUGCAUUAAAGAUUAGUGUUCAGCCUG